GGCCCUGCAGCUGUACGGGGGAAAUUCCACACAGUCAUCGACUUUCCAUCUGAAAGACCAAGUCCGCCCACCAAGAUAAAGGAAUCACCAGCUGGCUGUUGGUGUUCCUGCUUCAGCCUGGGAAAACCAUCUUCUGGGGCCAAACGCCAGCCACAGCGCCGUCCCAGGGAGCCCUCAGAAAUAGAAAUCGUAGUGCUGGCAGAUGAACUGAGCCCUUGUCCACCCAGAAGAGCCGGAGCAAGUAGCGAAGCUGGGCUGUGUGCUUCCCCCAGUGGAGAGCUCUUGGGAAGCACAAAUGGCUGCGGUUCACAUGACAGCCUUCCAUGUAACAACAGUGAUGGAGAGAGGGAGCUCAUCCAAGUUCAAGCCCUCAUUUCUCCCGGCUCUGCUGAAGAUGCUGACCUGAGCCUGCCAGAAACCACAGGCACCAGCCUGGACUGUGACCCAGUGCCUCUGCAGUGCA